rnacentral:rRNA from 1 species
AGAGUUUGAUCCUGGCUCAGAAUCAACGCUGGCGGCGUGCCUAACACAUGCAAGUCGAACGCGAAAGGGGCUUCGGUCCUGAGUAGAGUGGCGAACGGGUGAGUAACACGUGGGUGAUCUACCUUCGAGUGGGGGAUAACGUCCCGAAAGGGACGCUAAUACCGCAUGACGUUCUGGGUUUAAAGACCUGGAAACCAAAGCCGGGGACCGCAAGGCCUGGCGCUUGAAGAGGAGCCCGCGUCCGAUUAGCUAGUUGGCGGGGUAAUGGCCCACCAAGGCGACGAUCGGUAGCCGGCCUGAGAGGGCGGACGGCCACACUGGAACUGAGACACGGUCCAGACUCCUACGGGAGGCAGCAGUGGGGAAUUGUUCACAAUGGGCGCAAGCCUGAUGACGCAACGCCGCGUGGGGGAUGAAGGUCUUCGGAUUGUAAACCCCUGUCGAACGGGACGAAAGACCCGGGAGCUAAUCAUCCUGGGAGUGACGGUACCGUUAAAGGAAGCCACGGCUAACUCUGUGCCAGCCGCCGCGGUAAUAC